GAUGAACGCUGGCGGCGUGCCUAAUACAUGCAAGUCGAGCGAACAGAUGAGGAGCUUGCUCCUCUGACGUUAGCGGCGGACGGGUGAGUAACACGUGGAUAACCUACCUAUAAGACUGGGAUAACUUCGGGAAACCGGAGAUAAUACCGGAUAAUAUAUUGAACCGCAUGGUUCAAUAGUGAAAUACGGUUUUGCUGUCACUUAUAGAUGGAUCCGCGCCGCAUUAGCUAGUUGGUAAGGUAACGGCUUACCAAGGCAACGAUGCGUAGCCGACCUGAGAGGGGGAUCGGCCACACUGGAACUGAGACACGGUCCAGAUUCCUACGGGAGGCAGCAGUAGGGAAUCUUCCGCAAUGAGCGAAAGCCUGACGGAGCAACGCCGCGUGAGUGAUGAAGGUCUUCGGAUCUUAAAACUCUGUUAUUAGGGAAGAACAAAUGUGUAAGUAACUAUGCACGUCUUGACGGUACCUAAUCAGAAAGCCACGGCUAACUACGUG
rnacentral:rRNA from 1 species